CAGGGUACUCGAGUGGCGAACGGGUGAGUAACACGUGGGUGAUCUGCCCUGCACUUCGGGAUAAGCCUGGGAAACUGGGUCUAACACCGGAUAGGAGCCAUUUUUAGUGUGAUGGUUGGAGAGUUUUUUCGGUGUAGGAUGAGCUCGCGGCCUAUCAGCUUGUUGGUGGGGUAAUGGCCUACCAAGGCGGCGACGGGUAGCCGGCCUGAGAGGGUGGACGGCCACAUUGGGACUGAGAUACGGCCCAGACUCCUACGGGAGGCAGCAGUGGGGAAUAUUGCACAAUGGGCGCAAGCCUGAUGCAGCGACGCCGCGUGGGGGAUGACGGCCUUCGGGUUGUAAACUCCUUUCGCUAGGGACGAAGCUUUUUGUGACGGUACCUAGAUAAGAAGCACCGGCUAACUACGUGCCAGCAGCCGCGGUAAUACGUAGGGUGCGAGCGUUGUCCGGAAUUACUGGGCGUAAAGGGCUCGUAGGUGGUUUGUCGCGUCGUCUGUGAAAUUCCGGGGCUUAACUCCGGGCGUGCAGGCGAUACGGGCAUAACUUGAGUACUGUAGGGGUAACUGGAAUUCCUGGUGUACGGUGAAAUGCGCAGAUAUCAGGAGGAACACCGAUGGCGAAGGCAGGUUACUGGGCAGUUACUGACGCUGAGGAGCGAAAGCAUGGGUAGCGAACAGGAUUAGAUACCCUGGUAGUCCAUGCCGUAAACGGUGGGCGCUAGGUGUGAGGGUCUUUUCACGACUUUCGUGCCGUAGCUAACGCAUUAAGCGCCCCGCCUGGGGAGUACGCCGCAAGGCUA
rnacentral:rRNA from 1 species